AACACAUUUACAUCUACUCGUCCUAAAGAGGAUGAUCGUAGAGAAAAACAGCUUUUUUCCAUAGUUAUAAAAAAAUAUCUUCAAGCUGAUUUGCGCAAUGAGAGUAAACCCAUCAUGAAGAAUAAUCCACCCAUUCCUAAGUGAUUAAUUAAUUAAUGUGAAUCAACAAAUAAAGUUUACUUUAAAAAAACAAAAUAUGUGGACACAAGUGAAUCUGUUUUAUAUUAGUGUACAAGUGAUAAUCACUCAUCUCACCGUUGUGGAGUCCUCCAUAGGAGAAUCUACUCCCAGUCCCCAAGUUUUCUUACGUGAGCCCGUUGAUCAAACUGCACGACAAGGAACCCACGUUACUCUUCCGUGUCGUGUUAAUAACAAACAAGGAACACUUCAAUGGACACGGAGCGGAUUUGGACUUGGAGUGGAGAGGAAUUUAACGGGCUUUGAUCGCUAUCAUAUGACGGGAUCCGAUGAAGAAGGAGACUUUACCUUGGAUAUAGAUCCCGUCAUGUUGGAGGAUGAUGCCAAAUUUCAAUGCCAAGUAGGUGCAGCACGCGGUGUUGCACCUAUUCGCUCACAAUUUGCAACCUUAACGGUCACUGUUCCACCUCAAGAACCAGAAAUCAUUAAUGGAAAAGAAGUUCGGAAGACUGAGGAUCGAAAAGUUAUACUGGAGUGUGUUUCAAAGGGAGGAAAGCCGCCAGCUGAGAUUACUUGGGUUGAUAGCUCUGGCACAGUGGUAACCGAUGGUGUAACUUAUACUACAGAACCUGUAGAGAAUACAAAGCGUGUCACAGCCAAAUCUAAAUUAGAAUUCAUCGCUCAAAAAUCACAUCAUAACGCCUCCUUCACCUGUGAAGCACAGAACUCGGCAGAUCCCGUUCCUAAAAAAGCCUCCAUUAAAAUCCUUGUGGAGUAUGCCCCAGAUGUCAAAAUUGAGCUUCUAUCUCCAAGAAAUAAAGUACGAGAAUUGGAAGACGUUAAAUUUCGUUGUAAGGCACAUGCUAACCCAUCUAAGAAGACCUUUAGGUGGUUCGUCAACGACGUAGUCGUUCCUGGGAAUCAUGUGCAGGAAUUAGUCAUUAAAAAAGUAACAAGAGAACAAAAUGGACAGAUUGUCAAAUGUGAGGUUACAAAUGACGUGGGAAAGAGUGAGGAGAUUCACACUUUAGACAUCAGCUAUGCUCCUCAAUUUACGCUAAAGCCUCGCGACGUAAGUGGAGAAAAAGAUCACGAGGCCUUUUUGGACUGUGAAGUAGAUGGUAAUCCUAGUCCAACCUACACCUGGUUCCGCAACGGUGAUAUGAACACAGUCAUCGGAUAUGAUCGUAAUUUAAGCUUGAUCAUAAGCCCUUCAACCAUCGGAAAGUAUAUUUGCCGUGCUUCUGUCCAAGGUUUCUCUGAGAUCAUGGAAUCGGCAGAUGUAAUGAUGAAAGGCCCUCCUCGUGUUAUUCGCCGUAAUGGCGUCCAAUUUGGUACUGAAGGGGACACUGUACAUCUUACUUGUGAGGCCUUCUCUAUACCACCUCCUACAACUCUCAAAUGGAGUCUCUACGGAUAUCCAGUGGAAACAGUGAGUCCACAUUAUUCCCUCAUCGAAACCGCUAAAAAAGAUGGUAUGAAAUCCACGCUAGUCAUACGGAGCUCCAUUUCAUCAGACUAUGGCGACUACAAUUGUACAGUGAGGAAUCAAUACGGAUCUGACUCCUUUGUUAUAACUCUUGAGCGAAAAAAGAGCCUUCCGCUUAUCAUAAUCCUAAGCGCCGUGAUUGGUGGUAUCGUUCUUACUGUUAUGACCAUACUGAUCAUGAUUAUAUGUCGAAGAGGAACUCUUCGAGCCAAACUAACUGCUAAGAGCAAGCUACGCAGUGGACGCUCCACGUCAACCACAAAUUCCUCUGGGAAGAAUCUCAAUUCAGCUGAGUCUGAAGUAUUAAAUCCUACAUCAAAGAAUUACUCCCCUGAGAAUGAUAUUGAGCACGAUUGGGAUAGGAGAAGAGAGAGCAUGAUUGGCCCUCCAGAUUCUGCUGCCGCUCGAUAUAUGCCGCUUCAAGGCUACGAUGAUUAUCAAACAAGAAUUGAAAUGGGCUAUCCUCCACAGAAUCAUCACCCAUCGACCAACUCAAUCCUCGACUCCGGCUACAUUGGCGGCGGUCCCAUCAAUCAUAGACAAUCUGGAUUCAUUAAUCUCCCCUACGGCUAUGAUAUUCAACCACAUCCCGCUAUGGCUCAAUCCGCUGUAGAUUUCGGUGAAUUAAACAGCUACCGAAGUGGCUUAAACGUUGCAGAUCCCCGCCUGAGUGCUAAAUAUGGCAAUCAUUACCUACGAUCCACUCCGUCAACCUCCGUUCAACAACUACACAACCCCUAUGUGAGUCCUAGCCAACAGCAACUCUACUAUCCAAAAAACAAUGCCUCUGGGAUGUCUCCUAACGGCGGAGCCGGUGGUAGCGUAACUUCGAAAGGAUACUCCACACUUACAACAGACCGUGUACGAAAGAAGGGAAGUGAGUCUAAUAAGGCUCUUGCGAACGGAUCCAACUCCAAUGGAGGAACCUUAACUAAGAAGAACCCUACAUAUGCCACUGUUGGUAGUGGAUCCCUUUCCCUUGUGCCUGUUAUGAAUGACGGAACCUCUUCUUCUAACAACAUCAAUAAUAAUAACAAUCAUACGACUAAAUCACCACGUGUUUCAGCUGUUGAGUCCAUAUUGAACGGAGGAAACUCUCAGCAGCAACAGCAGUACAUCCUAUCCCCUGAGAGUGAAUCCAAAAACAAUAGCUCUAUGGCCACUCAUGUCUAAAAUUAUUCAUAAAUAUGAGUAGUCGUCAUAGUUCAUGCUUAAAUGGUAGCAUGAACGAAGAAGAAAAAAAAACAAACACAUUCUGUCAAAGUGGUCUCUGCUGACGUCACAACACCCAUUAUAUAAUUUGGGAUCCCUCCUUGGAAUUCCAGUACCAGCAUCAUUGGUAUCAAGUCUUAUUAAGUGCAGCUGUUUUUUAUUUGUUUAGACUUAUGAUAAAGUUUUUUUGUGGAUUGAUUGGUUCAUUUGACCCUAGUAAAAUAUAAGCCUUGAGCCUCUAAGAUGUUGAAAACUAUGACAUAUGUGUGAAAACGUUGUAUGUCUUAUAGAAAUGAUUAUUAUUAAAACAAUAAUACAAGAUUUUGUCA
rnacentral:misc_RNA from 1 species